UCCGGUGACUAUGGCGAAGGUGCCCCACCCGUUCCCAUCCCGAACACGGCAGUGAAACCCUUCAGCGCCGAUGGUACUGCGUCGUUCUCGACGUGGGAGAGUAGGACGUCGCCGGAU
rnacentral:rRNA from 1 species